rnacentral:rRNA from 1 species
UACGUAGGGCGCAAGCGUUAUCCGGAAUUAUUGGGCGUAAAGAGCUCGUAGGCGGUUUGUCGCGUCUGCCGUGAAAGUCCGGGGCUCAACUCCGGAUCUGCGGUGGGUACGGGCAGACUAGAGUGAUGUAGGGGAGACUGGAAUUCCUGGUGUAGCGGUGAAAUGCGCAGAUAUCAGGAGGAACACCGAUGGCGAAGGCAGCUCGCUGGGACGGUACUGACGCUGAGGCGCGAAAGCUAGGGGAGCGAACAGG